ACAGCCUUACGAUGACCAAGGCAUACAGCGUGAAUUUUUUUCUGGCUCUUUUGACACUUGUCUUCAUUCUGUGCAAAAUCAGCGAAUCUGGUGGGGUUUCUGUUCUUGCCAAACACCAUAAAGUAUUUAUUGAGGCAAGGGUGUUUGUAUUCCGUCCCCCAACCACCACUCGUCGACCUCCUUCUACGACAACACGUCGCCCAGAUGGGCUCGGUCGUCGUAUCACUGGAUAUAAACCAGGAUAACCCAUGCUUUCACGCAAUACAUGGUCGCGUGAGCCAUCAGAAAUGCCACUGCACAUUACUGGCCUGUACGCCGUCGUGCAAAAUAAGGAUUCUUCAUGUGGUUGAUCAGACAUAUAGCGAACUCUGAAUAAACGUGUUUCCUCUCUACGCAUCAA